rnacentral:rRNA from 1 species
GACGAACGCUGGCGGCGUGCUUAACACAUGCAAGUCGAACGGUGAACGAGGGAGCUUGCUCCCUCCGGAUCAGUGGCGAACGGGUGAGUAACACGUGAGCAAUCUGCCCCGAACUCUGGGAUAAGCGUUGGAAACGACGUCUAAUACCGGAUACGACGCGGGAGGGCAUCCUCUCCGCGUGGAAAGAACUUCGGUUCGGGAUGAGCUCGCGGCCUAUCAGCUUGUUGGUGAGGUAACGGCUCACCAAGGCGACGACGGGUAGCCGGCCUGAGAGGGUGACCGGCCCAACGGGGACGGAGAAACGGCCCAGACUCCCACGGGGGGGAGGGGGGGGGAAUAUUGCACAAGGGGGGAAAGCCGGAUGCAGAAACGCCGGGUGGGGGAAGGCGGCCUUGGGGUUGAAAACCUCUUUUAGAAGGGAAGAAGGAAAAGGGACGGAACCGGAAAAAAAAGCCCCGGCAAACUACGU